GGCCUGCUGCGGGGUGAUGUAGUGGAUGUGGGAGUCCACGCCGCCGGCGGUGAGGACGCGGUGCUCCCCGGCGAUGACCUCGGUACCCGGGCCGAUGACCAGCUCAGGGUCCACACCGUCCUGGGUGUUCGGGUUUCCGGCCUUGCCGAUCUUCACGAUGCGUCCGUCGCGGAUGCCCACGUCGCCCUUGACCACGCCUGCCACGGCGUCCAGCACGAUGACGCCGGUGAUGACGGUGUCCAGUGCGCGUGCACCUGUGCCGUCGGCACCGCCGGUGGAGGUGGCGGUGGGGUCCUGGGCCAUGCCGUCGCG
rnacentral:sRNA from 1 species